GAUGAACGCUGGCGGCGUGCCUAAUACAUGCAAGUCGAGCGAACGGACGAGAAGCUUGCUUCUCUGAUGUUAGCGGCGGACGGGUGAGUAACACGUGGAUAACCUACCUAUAAGACUGGGAUAACUUCGGGAAACCGUAGCUAAUACCGGAUAAUAUUUUGAACCGCAUGGUUCAAAAGUGAAAGACGGUCUUGCUGUCACUUAUAGAUGGAUCCGCGCUGCAUUAGCUAGUUGGUAAGGUAACGGCUUACCAAGGCAACGAUGCAUAGCCGACCUGAGAGGUUGUCCGCCAAACUUGAACUGGAGCAACGGCCAGGCCCCCACCGGGAGGAAGAGGAGGGAAUCCUCCGCAAUGGGGGGAAGGCCUAAGGAGGAAACGCGGGGGGAGUGAUAAGGUCUUCGGAUCGUAAAACUCUGUUAUUAGGGAAGAACAUAUGUGUAAGUAACUGUGCACAUCUUGACGGUACCUAAUCAGAAAGCCACGGCCAACUACGUG
rnacentral:rRNA from 1 species